rnacentral:rRNA from 1 species
AGAUUGAACGCUGGCGGCAGGCCUAACACAUGCAAGUCGAGCGGCAGCACGGGUACUUGUACCUGGUGGCGAGCGGCGGACGGGUGAGUAAUGCCUAGGAAUCUGCCUGAUAGUGGGGGGAUAACGUUCGGAAACGGACGCUAAUACCGCAUACGUCCUACGGGAGAAAGUGGGGGAUCUUCGGACCUCACGCUAUCAGAUGGGCCUAGGUCGGAUUAGCUAGUUGGUAGGUAAAGGCCUACCAAGGCUACGAUCCGUAACUGGUCUGAGAGGAUGAUCAGUCACACUGGAACUGAGACACGGUCCAGACUCCUACGGGAGGCCAGCAGUGGGGAAUAUUGGACAAGUGGGCGAAAAGCCUAGAUACCAGCCAUCGCCGCGGUGUGUACGGAAGAAGGUUCUUCGGAGUUGAAAGUCUAACGUUUAACGGUUGGGAAGGUAAGGACUAAGUUAACCGUUAAGUACGUUAAGUUGUUUUUAGACGUUACCGACUAG